CCAGAAGCGCAGCGCCGCCCUCCUCGCCCUCGACGCCGCCCCUCGGUCCAUCCUCGCACUGUUCUCGGAUCCUAAUGUUGUGGGAAAAAAAGAAGAGGCCAAGCGGUGUGACGGUGGGAGCAACAAGCGCAAGCGAGGGUGGGAGUCGGAUGAUGAAGGAGAUGGCACCCUGGAGCUCUUCCCUUUGCGUCCGGAGAGGGAUUAGUUAGUUAAUCCUCUUAAUUAAUUGUGUCCUUUUUAAUUACUUUUUAUUUUUGACUAGUUGAGGGGAGAUGAGCUAGAGUUGAGUUGAGUUGAUGAUUCACUAUUGAUUUGUGUAUUUAUUAUGUUAUUUUUCC